ensembl:lncRNA LINC00293 long intergenic non-protein coding RNA 293
AGUCCUUCCCACAGAGAGCGGUUUGAUAUGUCACUGAAACCAGCAUCCAGGUGGUAUUGCUCCAUAUGCCUGAGACCCUAACAAAAGCCUAAUUACAACUCAUAUGCCUGGAGCCAGGACAUGUGCAGGAUGGUGAUGUAACUUUCCUCUCUGGAAUGGGUCCUGCACAAAGGAAUGAUAGUAACAUAUUGCAAAGCCAGACACACAGCCAUGAUGGUCCAAGUUAUAUUGGGAUUCAGCCAAUAGAAGAUAUUUUGCCUGUCAUCCCUAAGCUUAGGACAAUAGGGUCCUGCCCACAAGAAAGAUUGUGACAUCUCACUGGACAAGCACCCACCCAGACUCUGCCAAGAGAGGGGAUUAUUACAUAUUGCAGAGCCCAGCACCUAGGUGGAGUGACUCUCAUCUUUUUCUUCUACCCCGUAUAUAGCCAGCUUGGUGACCUACUAUUUGAGUCUAUACCCAGGCCCAGACCACAGAUGAAAUUGUGCAAUAUGUGGAACAAACACCUAAACAAUAUAUAACACCUUCCUUGGCUCUGUCUACAAAGGGCACUUUUAUAUAUCACUGGGACCAUCAACCAGGUGGAUUGUGACAUCUCACUGGACCCGCAACCAUGUAGGUCAUGUGACUUUCAUGCCUUCUCACUGGCCACAGGUGAUGUUGUGCCAUAUAACUGAGACCGUAUCAAAAGCCUAAUAACAAGACGUAUGUCUGGAGCCCCGAUAUGCACAGGAUGGUGAUAUAACCCUCUUCUCUGGAAUGGGCCCCACACAAAGGAAGGAUAGUGACAUAUUGCAAGCCCAGGCACACAGGCCCAGAGCACAGUUGAAAUUGUGACAUAUGUACACCAAGCAACCAAGCAAUGUAUAACACCUCAUUUGGCAAUGGAAUCGAGGGCACUUUUACAUAUCACUGAGACCAGCGCCCAGCUGAUGUGAAAUAUUGGCCUGAACCCUGCCUACAAAAGCAUUGUGGCUUUUAUCUAGCUCCAUUACAUAAGUGAUGUGACUUCCUUCUACUGCCUUGGCCCUGCACUUAUGGUGAAUCGUGACACAAAAUUGGGUAGAGCAACCAGCCUGGGCCCUGACCAGCACAGAGAUUGAGGCAUAUUGCUGAACCCAGGACCAAGAUGAAGUCACUCUCCUGCCUUGAUCCUGCACACAGGGACCCUUGUGACAUAUAUACAGGCCAAUUGCCUAGGUGAUGUUGUGCAAUAUACCUGAGACCAGAUCAAUGGCCUAAUAAUGACUCUUUUACCUAGAGCCAGGACAUGUGCAGGAUGGUAACUCUCAUCCCUGAACCUUUCCACAGGUGUUAUUGUCACAUAUACCUUUUCCAGCUCCAAAGUGAUUUAAUAAUCCAGCCUAGUUAUAGCCCACAGAUAA